rnacentral:siRNA from 1 species
GACGCCUCGUGACCCGCCUCCA